GGUGAAGGCUUGACCUCAAAUCAGGUAGGACUACCCGCUGAACUUAAGCAUAUCAUAGCCGGAAG
rnacentral:rRNA from 1 species